UAGGAAAUGGACAGUAAAUUGACGGUGCCUAAUGAGGAAGCCCCGGCUCACUAUGUGCCAGCAGCCGUGGUAAGACAUAGGGGUCAAGCGUUAUCCAGAAUUAUUGGGAGUAAAGGGUACGUAGGCGGUCUUACAAGUCUGAUUUGAAAGCACAUCGCUUAACCAUGUGAGGUAAUUAGAAACUACGAGUCUAGAGAGUGGUAGAGGUAAAUGGAAUUCCAAGUGGAGCGGUGAAAUGUGUAGAGAUUUGGAGGAACACCAGUGGCGAAGGCGGUUUACUGGGCCACAUCUGACGCUGAUGUGCGAAAGGCGUGGGGAGCAAACAGGAUUAGAUACCCUGGUAGUCCACGCCGUAAACGAUGAGUGCUAAGUAUCGGGGGAUUUCGGUGCUUAAGCUAACGCAGUAAGCACUCCGCCUGGGGAGUACGGUCGCAAGACUGAAACUCAAAGGAAUUGACGGGGACUCGCACAAGCGGUGGAGCAUGCGGUUUAAUUCGAUGCAACGCGAAGAACCUUACCAGGUCUUGGCAGUGUAAAGAAUACUUAAGAGAUUAUGGGCUACGAAUUAAGCUUGCUUGAUUUACUUUAUAAACAGGUGGUGCAUGGUUGUCGUCAGCUCGUGUCGUGAGAUGUUGGGUUAAGUCCCGCAACGAGCGCAACCCUUAUCACUAGUUGCCAUCAUUCAGUUGGGCACUCUAGUGAGAUUGCCGGUGACAAAUCGGAUGAAGGUGGGGAUGACGUCAAAUCAUCAUGCCCCUUAUGACCUGGGCUACACGCGUGCUACAAUGGCUAAUACAAAGAGUCGCAAAACCGUGAGGUAGAGCUAAUCUCAUAAAGUUAGCCUCAGUUCGGAUUGUAGUCUGCAACUCGACUACAUGAAGUUGGAAUCGCUAGUAAUCGUAAAUCAGAAUGUUACGGUGAAUACGUUCUCGAGUCUUGCACUCACCGCCCGUCA
rnacentral:rRNA from 1 species